GCCAACCAGCAGCUCCCUUGGUAGGGGCAUGCAGAAGACCUGAUGACACAAACCCUCCAAAGAGUUUCACCCUCACCACAACAGGUGGCUUCCUGCUCGGCAGCCCAUCCUGCAUCACUUCAGUGGACUUCUCUGACAUCUACUAGACCACAUUAAAUGAAUCACAGCCUUGAAACUGAACUGGAAGGACUUCCUUCAAGGAGCCAGCAUAUGAACUUGCUGCCUAUCUUUAGCAAGGAGAUGCAAAUGACAUCCACAAACCUCUUCUGCUGUAUACCUGGAUGAAAGCAAGGCUAGCUGUGUGUCCUAUGGCACCAAGGACUGAAAGAUUGUAAGAAGUAAGAGGGAAAGUGAUCCAAAAAGGUGGAACACCUAAUGUACAGCCCCAAGGAAGGAGCAUACUUGGAGAAUUCAAGGAACAGAAAGAAAAACAGGAAGGCUGGAGUGAAACUGAUUAAAUAAAGCAUCGUAACAUUAGAGGUCCAUCAUAGAGGCCAAGCCAAAUACAACUAUGUUUUCAAGCAUAAGAUGGAUAGAUGUGGUAAACCACAAGAAGCAAACAGCCCUUUAGAGGUGUGGAUUGACCUUGCAGAGUUACAAGUGGAGCCAGGAGAAAUCAUGUUGAGUGGGACUUCUCAUCCUACCUAAGAGAGACUAACAGAUGGAAAGCUGGGUACAGAAGGGAGAGAAGGCAGUAACAGUCAGAUUUCAAUACGCUGAGACUGUGACGUGGGACUUUUGAGUGAGUAACAUCUGCUCCUAGAACUGAGUUGAGUGGGGAUCCUCCCACACCACCCAGGCAAGAGAACUAACAAUUGAUGACUGCUCCAAAUCAGUCGCCAGUCUACCUAAUACUUCUACCUGGUAGGUAGCCUGAUACCCACUAACAUCAGAAAUCUCUAUUCAAAAUGAUGAAACAAUGAGGAAACGUUUUAUUUCACAUAACAAACUGUCCUAAGGGAAAGUGACUCCAAGGCCCCAGCAGCUUUUCAUCUUUCUGCUCUAUCACUCUCAGCAAGUCAGCUUGUCUUCAAGCCAGCCAUCCUCAUGGUCACAAGAUGGCUGCCUCAGAUGCAAACAUGACAACUUCUAGCAGGAGAGUAGAGCAUCUUUUCCUACAGGACUCUCAACACACACACAUCUCUUUGCAUCUCUUUUGCCUCUGCACAAAUCUUAAAACAAGCCACUGACAAGAGAAAUUAGAUCACUGUGACUGGCUUAAAGAAGUCUACAACUGUGUGGGGGUGGAUCACGUGAACAGAAUUAACAAAGUGGGAAAAAGUGUUGGCUUUGCCAGAAGUGCUCUUCCUCUCUGUCCAGUGGGCAAGCACCAAUUCAUUUUCAAACUCUCCACUGAAGCAUCAAUUUUCUGUAAUGCCUUUCUUGACCUCAGAUGUGAUGCCAGAAGUAGAGCAGCCAUCUUGCAACCACAAAGCAACAGCAUGAGUAUGAAAGUUAGUGCAUUAAGGAUGCUGGAAUAGAAUGAUUGAAAGCCAGAUGCCUAAUGACGUUGCUGAAUAGCUGAAACAAUACCAGCAACUAGCUGGUAAAUAUGUCUUAAAACCAGCAAAUAUGUCUCUCUCAUUAUGUGAGAAAGAUAAGCGUGUUGCUUG
rnacentral:lncRNA from 1 species